rnacentral:lncRNA from 1 species
CGACCUAUUUUCGUAUACAACCGGAGGUGACGUACCAUGAUUUGGGGGUAUUAUACCUACACACAAAUAACAAAUAACUGAACUGAAUUGAAUACAUGCAAAUAACAUCAUACACAAUAUUAAUGGUGUGACAUUAAUGCAAAAUAAGUUCAAAAUUGAAGUAGCAUGGCUAUACAUUGGCAAAAUUAUAUGGCAAUAUAGCAUAUGAUAAUUUAUCAUAUUGACAGCAUUCAAAUAGAUAAAUAUCACUUUUUUCACGUAAGACACACAUAUACAUAUGUCACUUUUGUUCAUUGAACACAUACAUGCACUUGGGUUGUCAAUGUCAGACUCACGUUUUGAUUUAGGUUAAAGGUUAUAAGCAUUCGACAUCAAUUUGUGAAUGUUCAAGUGUAAUCACACACAACGUACAGAUGCAGCUUGAAACAUUUUUAUGUUGGUAUCUGUAAUACUAUAUAUUCUGUUACAAUAUUGCUGGAACAGUCAAAUAUCUAUACUGUUUCUUAUAUAGUUGACCUUUCUACUAG